rnacentral:rRNA from 1 species
UACGUAGGUGGCAAGCGUUAUCCGGAAUUACUGGGCGUAAAGGGCGCGCAGGCUGUAGAUCAAGUCAGCUGUGAAAUGUCUGGGCUUAACCCGGGCAUGCGGUUGAAACUGAUGUACUGGAGUGCUGUAGAGGCAAGUGGAAUUCCCAGUGUAGCGGUGAAAUGCGUAGAUAUUGGGAAGAACACCGGUGGCGAAGGCGACUUGCUGGGCAGCAACUGACGCUGAGGCGCGAAAGCCAGGGGAGCAAACGGGAUUAGA